GGCAGCCUGGCUUAGUGGAAAAGGAACAGGCUUUAGAGCCAGACUGCCUGGGUUUGAAUCCCAGCCUGUCA
rnacentral:tRNA from 1 species